rnacentral:rRNA from 1 species
CGGCUUUGAUGGCAGAGAGGUCACACCCGUUCCCAUACCGAACACGGAAGUUAAGCUCUCUAGCGCCGAUGGUAGUUGGGACCUUGUCCCUGUGAGAGUAGGACGUUGCCAGGCA